GGCCCCGUGGUCUAGUGGUCUAGGACACCGCCCUUUCACGGCGGCAACAGGGGUUCGAGUCCCCUCGGGGCUACCA
rnacentral:tRNA from 2 species